rnacentral:rRNA from 1 species
AUUGAACGCUGGCGGCAGGCUUAACACAUGCAAGUCGAGCGGGGAAAUAUAGCUUGCUAUAUGACCUAGCGGCGGACGGGUGAGUAAUGCUUAGGAAUCUGCCUAUUAGUGGGGGACAACAUUUCGAAAGGGAUGCUAAUACCGCAUACGCCCUACGGGGGAAAGCAGGGGAUCUUCGGACCUUGCGCUAAUAGAUGAGCCUAAGUCGGAUUAGCUAGUUGGUGGGGUAAAGGCCUACCAAGGCGACGAUCUGUAGCGGGUCUGAGAGGAUGAUCCGCCACACUGGGACUGAGACACGGCCCAGACUCCUACGGGAGGCAGCAGUGGGGAAUAUUGGACAAUGGGGGGAACCCUGAUCCAGCCAUGCCGCGUGUGUGAAGAAGGCCUUUUGGUUGUAAAGCACUUUAAGCGAGGAGGAGGCUCCUGUAGAUAAUACCUACAGCGAGUGGACGUUACUCGCAGAAUAAGCACCGGCUAACUCUGUGCCAGCAGCCGCAGUAAGAC